UUUUACCGUUAAUUUUUGCGCACUGGAUACUCUCCGAUGGGGACAUUAGAGGUGAUGUCAUUGGCGAGCGGACAUCUCUACACUGUCGCUUUAAUUUCAGUGCAGUCCAGGGGGCAGGAUCGCUUUUUUCCUUUUUUAACCCUCUUCUCCUGGGCUCUGAGCGUUUGCGCCAACCGCAGCAGCAGAUUGAAUGAAGUGUUUGCAGGCAGCUGGGCACACGGAGGACACCGUGCUACUUCGUCCGGGAUGCUAGACUACAGCCAGCAUCAUUAUUUUUCAGCUCUUAACUGGGCGGAUUUUUAGGCUCGGUGCAUUUUCCCAGCAGCCACAUUUUUAAGAAGGUGCAGGCCCUUAAGAAACCGUCCCCUAAUCGCCUUGAUGGUAUCUGGACUGCAGCGCUCAAGCGACUGGCAGCUCCACAGCACGGCUGAUUAAGAACUUGGGGAAGUGAAAUGGUCAAGAUGGCAGCUGUGUGGAGUGAUGAAACUGAUGUGGUGGCAUUAGAUGCAGCGUGCGUGUACAUUUAAGAUUUUUCCCUUUGUCAUGCAGGAUCGCCGUGCGGGACGCGGACGCUUGUGAAGGAACGCAGUUUUGGAUUCCUCCGAGGCUCCGCGUACGCUUCACGUCUUUUCACUCCACAGUUCACGAAAUUGCAAUGCAUGUUGGCCAGGGUGUGGGCUUAGCACGACAAAAGGCGAUGUUCUGGUGAUUGUGGUGAGCUCCAGCUGCUCCGUGUGUUGCGGACGGACGCCGUGCAGGAGGACUGAUAGACUGACACGUGCUGGGACCGAGCUUCAGGAAGGGACACUUGCAUAGUAAAUAAACUGUCCACGAAGCCUGCACGCGACAUUGAUGGAAUGCGACCCGAGUGAUUUUAUAACCCUUUGUGCAACCCCCGACAAAUUACGACCAACAUGGCUGAGGCGUCGCGCAACGGCAACGAGCCGCCUCUAAACGUUGAGAUAGAUCCGGAUUUCGAGCCCCAGAAGCGGCCACGGUCCUGCACUUGGCCCCUGCCCCGUCCGGAAUCUGGUGCGGGCAAGCCCGGGGCAAAUGACACUGACGUAAUCCCCGAAGAGGAGGAUGAUGAGGGUGGGAGCACGGGGAGCGGCGCUGCUCAGAAAGCCAGCGGCGGCGCUAUUAAAACCCGAGAGCCGAGCAGCAGCAGCUCCAUCUCCCAGCCGGUGGAGGUCCAGCGGGGCCCAUCCAAAGAGGAGACCGCCGACGGCUCGCCGUCCUCGGCGCAAACCCCCGCAGCAGCUCCGAGCGGUUCUGCCACCCAGCAGCUGAGGAAGUCCUCCGCCCGCAGGAAUGCCUGGGGCAACUACUCCUAUGCAGACCUCAUUACCCAAGCCAUCGAGAGCUCCCCUGAGAAAAGGUUGACCUUGUCCCAAAUCUAUGAGUGGAUGGUGAGAUCCGUGCCAUAUUUCAAGGACAAAGGCGAUAGCAACAGCUCUGCUGGCUGGAAGAAUUCCAUCCGACACAAUCUUUCCCUCCAUAGCCGUUUUGUGAAAGUCCAGAAUGAAGGAACUGGGAAAAGCUCCUGGUGGAUGGUCAACCCAGAAGGUGGGAAAGGAGGUAAAGCUCCCAGGCGUAGGGCUGUGUCGAUGGAUAACAGCAAGUACAUCAAAGGAGCCAGAGGACGUGCCACAAAGAAAAAAGCCUCAUUGCAGGUUGCUCAAGAUGGGAGCUCUGAGAGCUCCUCGAGCCUCUCCAAAUGGACAGGAAGUCCCACCUCCCGCAGCAGCGACGAGCUCGAUGCCUGGACAGACUUCCGCUCUCGGACAAAUUCCAACGCCAGCACGCUCAGCGGUCGUCUGUCCCCAAUCCUGGCUAACCUGGAGCUGGAUGAGGUACCUGAUGACGACUCACCCCUGUCGCCAAUGCUGUACUCCAGCCCCAGCAGCAUGUCUCCGUCCACUGGACCAACAGGACUGUCUGAUCUGGCAGGCACUAUGAACCUCAAUGACGGGCUCUCUGACAACCUGAUGGAUGAUCUUUUAGACAAUAUCAGCCUCACAGCAUCCCAGCAGCCUCCUCCUGGAGAGGAAGAUGGGGCCAACAGUCAGGGGAGUUCAGUAUUUACCUUCAGCUGCUCAGGAAGCAGUUUAGGUAGUCCCUCUAGCAGCUAUGGGACGAACCCACUCUUCAGCCCUCCGUCCAUCACGAGCCUGCGACAGUCACCCAUGCAGACCAUCCAAGAGAACAAGCAGACCACUUUCUCCUGCAUGUCUCACUACAGUGAGCACCAGGCCCUAGAUCUGCUUGGGAUGGACUCCCACAGCCCCAGCAAUGUCAUGAUGACCCAGUCCGACCCUCUGAUGUCGCAGGCCAGCACCGCCAUCGCGUUGCAGAACUCCCGCCGAAAUGCCAUGCUGCUCCGCAAAGACCACAUUCUGGUUAACCACACCAGUGCAGGCCAGGCCCAAAGCUCUUCAGUGCCUGGUUGGCAAGCGGGCUUGUCAACCUCUGACAGUGACGACGGCUUCCCUGAAACAAAGCAGCUACACCUGAAGUCUCCUAGUAAGAACGCCUCUAUGCAGCUCAGUUCCAGUUUAACCAGUCAGGACCGUUUCUCCGCUGAUCUGGACCUUGAGGUGUUCAGCAGCAAUCUGGACUGCGACAUGGACUCAAUCAUCCGCAAUGAACUGAUGGACGCAGAUUGCCUGGACCUCAGCUUUGACUCUCGCCUCACCUCCACACAGAACAGCAACAAGAAUUCAGGAAGCUUCUCCAGCUCGAAACAGAGCCCUCAGAGCUGGGUGCCGAGCUGAGGAGCUGUCAGAAGUAAAGAAGGUGUAAAUUUGGGUUAAUUGUCCUGCGUUGUGCAACUAGAGGGAAGGAAGGUGUCUGAGACAAAACAACAGUGUCUUCACAGUGAAGGAAAAAAAUAAUUGUUUCAAAAGAUCAAUGCCUGGCCAGUAUGAACAAACGGUACUGAGUGGAAUGAAACUACAGUACCUUCAGUUAAAACUACAUGGAUCAACUCGUAUCAGUCUCAGGGAUUCACUCAUAUCACAAAGUAAUACAUAAAACUGAAAAUGAAGUGUUUUCAUUCUGCUUUCUCUCCUCUUUCACACCCUUUCAUACCCAAAACAUUUUUUGCCAAACCAGCUGUCAGCCUGACUGAUGGCCUGUUUACAAAAACUGCAGAGAAUGUUACAUUACUACGUUCCAGUGGAGGAUACUUGACAAGCUGCUUUUUUUUUUUUUUCCCUUUGUUUUUUAAAGAUUUCUUUGAGACGUAGCCUAAAUGGACAAACAGUUUUUUAAAAGCUUUCCCUCCCCAUUGAUGCACCAAUUCACACCAAAUAUCAGUAUGUAAUGCUAUCAAGAUGUGAACUGCUCUACAUGAUGUGUUUUUUGUAUGCAGUGUUUUUUCAAUUUUUAUUUUUUGUAGCAAAUUUUACCCUGUGAUUUUUAAGUGACAUUACUGUGAAUUCUGUUCCCUCUGAAGAGGUCCAUUACUGAAGUAUUGAUGAUGUUUCUGCUGCAGAUCCCUUUUUAGGUCCCUCCUCUUCCACUCACUGCACUGUUGGAAGUACUGCUCUGUAUACAGACCUUAGGACUGAGUUAAGGACACGAUUUAGUUCUAGUUACCACUUUUUAGUUGUCAAACACUUAGUGACUCGCAGCGCUCGACAACUACACCAGUUUUGGCGUUGAUUUGAUGGAGUUCUUGGUGCUCUAAAUCUAAAGAUAGCAGGGAGUGGCUGCAGAUGAAGCACCGUCAGUAGCCUCUCCUUUGUUAUCAGCACUAUAGCAGGUGCUGGGUGACAUGUUUUCAACACUGGGAGGGUGUGUAGUAUCUUGGUGUUUUUUCUUUUUUCUUUGUAAUGAAAGAAAUGACCACAGUAUCUUAAAUAUUGCCAAAGUUUAUCUGCAUUUAAAUAAGUGGAAAGAGGCUACACAGUGCAUAGCUAAUCAGAAGUGUGUGAUAUAAGGGCAAAAUCUACAUCAGCACAAUUUUGUAGGAACAGCAGGAUGCUUUUUAAAAUUGUUUACAUUUUUAAUUUUUUUUUUUUUUAAAUUAUCAGGAGUGUUUUAGUAAACUUGUCUCAUGUUGCAUCAUUGUAAAAACAAAUUUGGUUUAUUUAUUGCGAUACUUGUUUGCAUUGUUCCUCGAUGCACAUUUGGUUAGGGCUGUGUAAAAUCAUGUUUUCAUUGCUCUGUUCACUGGGUGAUCACUUGCACAACAAAUGAAAGGGUCCUUUUGAGAAAUGUUUAACAGCGUGUUAACCAGAUUAAAUAAUUCUCAUUGGCUUAACCUUUUAAUAAAUUUCUGCACAGCUGUGCUUCCACUUUUUUUUUUUUUUUUUU